rnacentral:lncRNA from 1 species
UGCCAACCCCAAUCUCAAAUAAUAAAUAUAUCUAAUCGAGCUCAAUAUCAGAUGUCAACUUCUAUUCCGACAUUUAGCUUCAAUUACACUUACAAAUACCUGUCAAAUUAAGGAUCGUCUUAUGGAAUUGAGUACAUCGUUUGCCCGGCGCCACAAUUUGCUUGAAUAUUUCACAUUGCUAUAACUUAGUAUGGUUUUCUUCACGGAAAUACCAUACCUACUUUUCACAACUCAGUAUGGUUUUCUUCACUGAAACACCAUACCUACUUUUCAUAACUCAGUAUGGUUUUCUUCACUGAAACACCAUACCUACUUUUCACACUUUGCAUGGAUCCACCAUGGACUUAUCCGUCAAUUCGUCAUUGGUUGCCAAACAUGUGUACUCAAUCCUGCAUAUCCCUUAAUUUGAACUAACAAUUUCAUCUUCUUUUCAUUUUUACCAUAAUCAUAAUUCAGUAACAAUAUACGAAUUUAUACAAUAUAUCAUUUCCACAUUAACAAUUAAUCAUAAAAAUUCAGCCAUAGGAACUUACCUGGGCCGAUUUGCAAAAUUUGUAAAAGUUCAGGGACUAAUUAACUACUUUUUCUUUUCCUCGGCUUGCUUCGGGUUCUCGAUCUAAAAUACAAAUUUAUUCAUUCAUCAGCAUAUAAUUCAAUUCUAAUUCAUUUCACAGUUUCUGCCCUUAGAUUCUCAAAAUUACACUUUUACCCCAAACUUUACAGUUUUUACAAUUUGGUCCCUACAAAAUUAACCCCUCAAUUGAUCUAAUUUUUUUUCUCAAUCAAAACCUUUUCCAACUAUUUUAGACUACUAAAUAUCCUUUCAUAUUCAAAACCGCAACACCAAACCCUAAUUCCCAACUUUUUCACAAUUAGGUCCCUAAAAUCAAUUUCUAUCAAAAUUACUUUAAUAGAAUCAUCAUAUAACAAAAUCAAAGCUUUAAUUCCAUGUUUAUUCAUCAUAAAAAUUCAGUACCCAUCAAUGGUAACUUUCCAAAAUCAGCCAUAAGAUCAAUAACUAAUGAAACAAUUAGUUGGACCUAAUUGUAAAAGUAUCAAAACCACAAAAAUUAGAAGAAAUAAUCAAGAAUUAAACUUACAUGAUUCAAAUAUAUGAAAAACCAGUUUGGAGGGACUCUUCAAUGGCGUUCUUUGGCUGAUAA